rnacentral:rRNA from 1 species
AGGGUUUGAUCCUGGCUCAGAACGAACGCUGGCGGCGUGGCUAAGGCAUGCAAGUCGAACGAGAAGUGCUCCGCAAGGGGCAUUGUAAAGUGGCGAAAGGGUGAGUAAUACUUGGACAACCUACCCUUGGGCGGGGGACAACCCGGCGAAAGCCGAGCUAAUACCCCGUACGAUUCCGGAGAGGCAUCUUUCCGGGAUGAAAGGAGGGUCCGCAAGGGCCUUUCACCCAUGGAGGGGUCCGAGCCCUAUCAGCUAGUUGGUGAGGUAACGGCUCACCAAGGCAACGACGGGUACGGGGCCUGAGAGGGUGUUCCCGCACACUGGGACUGAGACACUGCCCAGACUCCUACGGGAGGCUGCAGUCGAGAAUCUUCGGCAAUGGACGCAAGUCUGACCGAGCGACGCCGCGUGGAGGAUGAAUGCCUUCGGGUUGUAAACUCCUGUCACGGGACGAGAAUAAGUGGAUGCUAAUAUCAUCCAUGAUGACUAUCCCGAGAGGAAGCCACGGCUAACUCUGUGCCAGCAGCCGCGGUAAUUCAGAGGCGGCAAGCGUUGUUCGGAAUCACUGGGCAUAAAGGGCGCGUAGGUGGUCAAGUAGGUCAAGGGUGAAAGCCCCCGGCUCAACCGGGGUCCCGCCUUUGAAACCACUUGGCUGGAGCGGAACAGGGGAGAGUGGAACUCGUGGUGGAGCGGUGAAAUGCGUAGAUAUCACGAGGAACGCCGGCGGUGAAGACGACUCUCUGGGUUCUCGCUGACACUGAGGCGCGAAAGCUGGGGGAGCAAACGGGAUUAGAUACCCCGGUAGUCCCAGCCGUAAACGAUGAGCACUAGGUAGGAGCGGUACCCAAUCCGUUCCUGCCGGAGUAAACACGCUAAGUGCUCCGCCUGGGGAGUACGGCCGCAAGGUUGAAACUCAAAGGAAUUGACGGGGGCUCGCACAAGCGGUGGAGUAUGUGGAUCAAUUCGAAGCAACGCGAAGAACCUUACCUGGGUUUGACAUGGUGGAUGUAGAAUCCUGAAAGGGAAACGACCGGUAUCCAAUCCGGAGCCAUCACAGGUGUUGCAUGGCUGUCGUCAGCUCGUGUCGUGAGAUGUCGGGUUAAGUCCCAUAACGAGCGAAACCCUUGUCCUUAGUUGCCAGCGGGUCAUGCCGGGGACUCUAAGGAGACUGCCGGUGUUAAACCGGAGGAAGGCGGGGAUGACGUCAAGUCAUCAUGGCCCUUAUGCCCAGGGCGUCACACGUACUACAAUGGCCGGUACAUGGACGCGAUACCGUAAGGUGGGGCAAAUCCCAAAAAAGCGGCCUCAGUUCGGAUCGAGGGCUGAAAUUCGCCCUCGUGAAGCCGGAAUCGCUAGUAAUCGCGGAUCAGCCAUGCCGCGGUGAAUGUGUUCCCGAGCCUUGUACACACCGCCCGUCAAGCCAUGGGAGCCGGGGGUACCCGAAGUCGCCCACCCCUUUGGGGAGCGCCGAAGGUAAAACCGGUGACUGGGACUAAG